rnacentral:rRNA from 1 species
GAUGAACGCUGGCGGCGUGCUUAACACAUGCAAGUCGAACGGAAAGGCCCAAGCUUGCUUGGGUACUCGAGUGGCGAACGGGUGAGUAACACGUGGGUGAUCUGCCCUGCACUUCGGGAUAAGCCUGGGAAACUGGGUCUAAUACCGGAUAGGACCACUUCUUGGAUGUUGUGGUGGAAAGUUUUUUCGGUGUGGGAUGAGCUCGCGGCCUAUCAGCUUGUUGGUGGGGUAAUGGCCUACCAAGGCGUCGACGGGUAGCCGGCCUGAGAGGGUGUACGGCCACAUUGGGACUGAGAUACGGCCCAGACUCCUACGGGAGGCAGCAGUGGGGAAUAUUGCACAAUGGGCGCAAGCCUGAUGCAGCGACGCCGCGUGGGGGAUGACGGCCUUCGGGUUGUAAACUCCUUUCGCUAGGGACGAAGCGUCUUGUGACGGUACCUGGAGAAGAAGCACCGGCUAACUACGUG